AACGCGGAUGCUGAAAAGCGAUAACAGAGUAAGCA
ncrna:unclassified sequences DTF805b RNA